rnacentral:rRNA from 1 species
GACGAACCGUGCGAACGUUAUUCGGAAUCACUGGGCUUAAAGGGCGCGUAGGCGGCCGGACAAGUGGAAGGUGAAAUCCCCGAGCUCAACUCGGGAACUGCCCUCCAAACUGUUUGGCUUGAGUCCGGGAGAGGUGAGUGGAAUUCCCGGUGUAGCAGUGAAAUGCGUAGAUAUCGGGAGGAAUACCGAUGGCGAAGGCAGGUCUCUGGGCUGACACUGACGCUCAUGCACGAAAGCGUGGGGAGCAAACAGG